CCCCCAUAUGAAUCCUCUAGACUGACCAACUGAUCAUUUUGUGUACACAUGCAUAACUUACUUUUUGUAACAAUGCAAAAAUCAAAACAUAUUAUUUUAUGUACUAAAUGAAUAAAAUCCAUAUUGAAGAAAGUAAAUGCAAUGUGUAAUUAAACUUCUGAGAUCAUUAAUAGUAAAGGUUUAUCAUGGUGGGCGGAGUUUUGACCAUAUCUGUAGCAACUGACUUCCAGCAAGGUCACUAAUGAUAUAACAUCUCCCGCCAGAUCUGAUUUUUGUUGCAUAGGGUGUGCAUUUUCUUUAUUUAUUUAGAAUUGCUGAAAUGGAAUGCUUUCUUACUGGUCAAAACCUAAUUGAUUUAUGAUUAAAGGCCAAUCCUGAAGUAUCCCCAUGGUACAUGUGUGAAUUAUAUUGAAGUUAAUGGGGUACAAGUAGGAAAAUUCUUAUUUAUUCAAUUGUGACACAUUCAUUUUUGUCAUGAAAAUGUAGUUUUAAAUGUAAUUAGCUCCUAGAUGGGUGCCCCUAUAUGCAUGAUUUUCACACAUGUUGUUCCUUGACCAGUUAUCUUCAAAACUGUGUCUCAGAUUUCCAAAAACAUCAAUAGAACAAAUUUUAUACCCAAUUAAAUUUAGUGAUCUCUUAUGAAUUGAGGUUGCAAACUUCAUUGGAGGUUUAUGAGAGAAUGAAAUACAAUAGGAAAAAUCUGAGACACGGUUUUGGAGGUCAAACUCUGUUGUACAAGAAUCUAUAAAAUAUUUUGGGAUGCUAUACAUAACAAAGAAGCUAAUUUCAUUCAAGUGUGGACAUCACAAUAUAGCAACUAAUUACAUAACAAUUAAUUAU
rnacentral:lncRNA from 1 species